UACAGAGGUGGCAAGCGUUGUUCGGAAUUACUGGGCGUAAAGGGCGCGCAGGCGGCCUUCUAAGUCAGACGUGAAAUCCCCCGGCUUAACCUGGGAACUGCGUCUGAUACUGGGAGGCUUGAGUAUGGGAGAGGGAUGUAGAAUUCCAGGUGUAGCGGUGAAAUGCGUAGAUAUCUGGAGGAAUACCGGUGGCGAAGGCGGCAUCCUGGACCAUAACUGACGCUGAGGCGCGAAAGCGUGGGGAGCGAACCGG
rnacentral:rRNA from 1 species